UACGUAGGGGGCAAGCGUUGUCCGGAAUCAUUGGGCGUAAAGAGCGUGUAGGCGGCCCGAUAAGUCCGCUGUGAAAGUCCAGGGCUCAACCCUGGGAUGCCGGUGGAUACUGUCGGGCUCGAGUCCGGAAGAGGAGUGUGGAAUUCCUGGUGUAGCGGUGAAAUGCGCAGAUAUCAGGAGGAACACCAAUGGCGAAAGGGCAGCACUCUGGGGACGUGACUGACGCUGAGACGCGAAAGCGUGGGGAGCAAACAGG
rnacentral:rRNA from 1 species